UACGUAGGGUGCAAGCGUUGUCCGGAAUUAUUGGGCGUAAAGAGUUCGUAGGCGGUUUGUCGCGUCCGUUGUGAAAGCUUGGGGCUCAAUCCCAAGUCUGCAGUGGAUACGGGCAGACUAGAGUCAGGUAGGGGAGAACGGAAUUCCUGGUGUAGCGGUGAAAUGCGCAGAUAUCAGGAGGAACACCGGUGGCGAAGGCGGAUCUCUGGGCCUGUCCUGACGCUGAGGCGCGAAAGCUAGGGGAGCGAACAGG
rnacentral:rRNA from 1 species